AUCUCCAAACACUUUACCCUAGGGCUGUCCAUCUUCCCCUUGCCUCAGGAGGAUCUGUUAGAGUGCUGAGCAUACAGUCAGCAGAAGCCUGAUGGGCCUCCAGGAGACUGCUGGUGAAGUUUAAAGCGACUUGUGAUUACUCCAACCAAUAGAGUGUUGCCGGUAACAGCAUGUGACUUCUGAGGCGGAUUCUUUAUCAGCUGAGCUACCAGGGAAGCCCAAUACGAUGCACUGCUCCUAUCCAUUCAUGGGAUUCCCACGAAUACUUCCUGUGGGAGAAGAUUCCUUGGCAUUUGUGGUGUGGCGAUUAAGAGAUUGGACUUUAGAGUCAGAAAGACCAUGGACUGUGACUUGGACUUGUGUUCAUGAUUCUUCUUCCAAGGCCUUGGAAUCCUACUCUGGAUCACAAUUGUGAAGACGCAGCUGAUACCUGGUGCUCAACCACCCACCCUGAUGGAGGGCGAACAGGGCUCUGCCGUAGCCCACAGGCUGGGCUUUGUGCUUCUGGUCUGGAUGAGGGAAGUGCAUGCAGCCCAGACUGCAGGGCUGGGAGAUGAUGGGCAGGAUUCGCUGAGCCCCGGGACAGCCCAGAAGGUCGGGUCCAGCAGCUGCUGCCAUGAGCGCUCUUUGUAAAGGGAGUCAGAUCUCCUGGGAUCUCAGUUCUGUUGGGGCCAGCCGGGGAGUCUCAGGAGGAGAAACACCUGGGUGCCCCUGGUCUCAGACUUGACCAUGAGGAGUUUGGCUCACGUCGUCUAUCACACAAACCCCAAUCUGGAUGAACACCUCACCCUGUCCCCCAUACCCGAGGGUCACAGUGCAGUUCAGUCAGUUGUGUUCAACUCUUUGCAACCCCAUGAACCGCAGCACUCCAGGCCUCCCUGUCCACCACCAACUCCCGGAGCUUGCUCAAACUCAUGUCCAUCGAGUCGGUGAUGCCAUCCAGCCAUCUCAUCCUGUGUCGUCCCCUUCUCCUCCCGCCUUCAAUCUUUCCCAGCACCAAGGUCUUUUCCAAUGAGUCAGUUCUUCGCAUCAGGCGGCCAAAGGAUGGAGUCACAGUACACCCAGUGAAAUGGCGCCUCCCCCAGGGGCCUGGGCAGGAGUGACAUUGUGAUUAAGAAUGGCCUUGAUUAUGUAAGCUCAUCAUGUAACAUAUAUCUGAAACA